rnacentral:tRNA from 1 species
GCUUCCGUGGCGCUAUAAUCAACGCUUUCGGCUGUUAACCGAAAGGUUGGUGAUUCGAGCCCACCCGGGAGCG